GUCCCUUAGGUGACAUCUGAUAAAAUUGGAACGAUAUAGAGAAGAUUAGCAAGGACUUUGUGCAAGGAUGAUACUCACAAAUUGAGAAAUGGUCUAAAAUCUA